UACGUAGGGUGCGCGCGUUGUCCGGAAUUAUUGGGCGUAAAGAGCUCGUAGGCGGUUUGUCGCGUCUGCUGUGAAAUCUGGGGGCUCAACCCCCAGCCUGCAGUGGGUACGGGCAGACUAGAGUGCGGUAGGGGAGAUUGGAAUUCCUGGUGUAGCGGUGGAAUGCGCAGAUAUCAGGAGGAACACCAAUGGCGAAGGCAGAUCUCUGGGCCGUAACUGACGCUGAGGAGCGAAAGCAUGGGGAGCGAACAGG
rnacentral:rRNA from 1 species